UACGUAGGGGGCAAGCGUUGUUCGGAUUUACUGGGCGUAAAGAGCGUGUAGGCGGCCAUACAGGUCAGUUGUGAAAACUCGAGGCUCAACCUCGAGACGUCGGUUGAAACCGUAUGGCUAGAGUCCGGAAGAGGAGAGUGGAAUUCCCGGUGUAGCGGUGAAAUGCGCAGAUAUCAGGAGGAACACCAAUUGCGAAGGCAGCUCGCUGGGACGGUACUGACGCUGAGACGCGAAAGCGUGGGGAGCGAACAGG
rnacentral:rRNA from 1 species